rnacentral:lncRNA from 1 species
UGUUAUGCAAGUAAAUAAAGGUGAUUCUUUAUCAUACGGGUAAGGUUGGAUGAAGGGUGGUAGGAACAAAUGCUCUGCCUAGAGCAUGUGUGUGAGAUGGAGUCUUAGUGUGUGCUGUGUGUGUGUGUGAGAGAGAGAGAUGAGAGAGAGAGAGAGAUGGAGUCUUAGUGAUCAAUUGAAAGUAUAGCGGGGUUUUUACGCCCCAAACUACGGAUGUCGUGUUCUCCACAGGGACUAGGCGACGACGACUAUGCUCGGCUAAAGCUAGGUAGCACAAUUUUAAGAGAUAAAUGCAGAAAAUAAGAAUCUAAACUAACAAUGAUUCUACCCAAAGAUAAUCCACCAAGAAAAUGCAAAAUAGCAAAGGGAGGUUAAGAUAUUACUCACUAUCUUUUUGGUAUUUUGUUUUAUUUGAGGAAUUAAAAUACUAACACAAAUAGGAGUCAAUAUCAAGUAAAGCUACAAGACGAGGACACAUUAGUAUCAAACAUAUAACAGUAGGAAGAAGCGACAAUAUAUGACAGAAUAUAAUUGUUUCAAAUCAAACACACACACGCACAUUCAUAUAUCACAGGUACAUAGCUGAUACGGGGACUACAGAACACACAAAACCACACAUAUGCGAACAGGAUACUACACCACGAUUCAGGUUACACAAGUGAAAACAGAAACGAAAUCUUACAAGCCACAAGAUUAGUACCCACAGAUCAACACAACAGUAUUUAACAACUAAAAAUUACUGAUAGAAUUUAACUAGUACAGCAAGAAGAAAUACACAGGGUGAACACACAUAUAUGCUGACAGAACACUAAUUACCAAAGCAAUUUCUAAUAGAUCAAUAAUCUCCCAAAUUAACAAUAUAUUUUACCAGUACCAAACUGAACAAAUAACAAGUUGCUUGCACUAGUCAAAUCUGAAUAUUACACAACCCGAAACAUUACACAGUUCUGAACAUNNNNNNNNNNNNNNNNNNNNNNNNNNNNNNNNNNNNNNNNNNNNNNNNNNNNNNNNNNNNNNNNNNNNNNNNNNNNNNNNNNNNNNNNNNNNNNNNNNNNNNNNNNNNNNNNNNNNNNNNNNNNNNNNNNNNNNNNNNNNNNNNNNNNNNNNNNNNNNNNNNNNNNNNNNNNNNNNNNNNNNNNNNNNNNNNNNNNNNNNNNNNNNNNNNNNNNNNNNNNNNNNNNNNNNNNNNNNNNNNNNNNNNNNNNGAGAGAGAGAGAGAGAGAGAGAGAGCAACAAGAUUCAGAUUCAGAGAAGUGCAGCAACAAGGUUCAUGGGUUUAGAGAAGGGGGAAGCAACGAGCAGCAGAGGGAGAUAGGCAAGGGAGCAGCGGCAUGAAGAUUAGAGAAGAGCAGCAGCAAAAGGGACGAGGGGAGGAGCAGCAGCAGUUGGGAAGAGGCAAGGGAAGGAGGAGGAGUAGCUGGUUCGAGUUGAGAAGUGGAGGAGCAGCAGCAAGGCGAGGGAAGAAGGAGCAGCAACAAGGCAUAGGAGAAGAAGAGCAGCAGGGGCGCGAGGUGUGGGGAAGCGCUGUGGUGCUGGUAACGCGGUGUGGAUGGAUGAUGGUGGAUUCGGGGAAGGAGAAGAAGAUGGUGGCACUGGUGGAUGGCGCAAGGUGGUGAUGUGGUGGGAGGUGCUGGUGGCGCGCCGCCACGCCGGCCUGGCCAAGGCGGCGGCCGGAGGUGGAGAAGGGGGUGUGAGGGAGAGAGUUGAGUAGCCAGGCCCAAUUGCAAUGGAGAUGUGGCUACGGAUUUUGAUCCCCUCCCGAUCAGAUCUGAAUGUUUUCACUUUGGCCCUCCUUCUUCCUUCUUUCUUCCCAAGUUGGUCCUCCCAUCUUUAGUUUGGCCCCUCGGUUACUUCUUUCCUUCACGCUCAGCUCCUUGACUCCAUCACUUGAUCAUUUGUAGUAGAAGAGUUUUGUGCCUUGUCGCACUUUUCUGCAAAAUAAACAAGUGACUAGUCAACAAUCCUUUUAUAUGAUUUUCAUGCAAUAUUUGAUAAUUCUUAGCAAGAAUAGAUGGACACAUCUCAAGAAAUGGUGAAUUUGUGUGUCAAAAUUAUAUAUAUGAAAUGUGCUUAUCAAGUUCCCCCACACUUAAAUCUUUGCUUGUCCUCAAGCAAAGGAAUAUGAUAAGAGCAAGAUAGUGAAUAGUGAGCUGACUAGAGAAUGCCAAGUGAAGUAGAUCUCUAAACAAUGCAUGCUUUGGACUUAGCUAGUGCAAAUCAAUGGUCAAGAGUGCUACAAAGCAAUAGGAUACUAGUAGACUCAAUCAUUUUAAACUUUUACAAUGAUAAAAGUGGAUCAACAAGUUCAAAUGAUGAUUGUGCCAAAGGUUCCUAAAGAGAGCAUGAUCCCAAGCACAAAAAAGAACAUAAACUUGUGAUCAAAUCACUUAUUUACAGACGUAAAGCAAUGAUAAUAUUUUAUUGAUCUCACCAAAGGAACAUACCAUCGAUCCCGAGAACAUGGUUUACACCUGGAUCGACCAAUUAUUAAUUUAGUUUUUUUGUUUGUCUCCCCAAAGGAACAUACCACCGAUCCCGAGAACAUGGUAUACACUUGGUUCGACAAUUACAUUUUUUUAUUAUUAAUUACUGCCCAAGCUAACCCGAUUUCACAUGCCACCGACCCCAGGAACAUGACAUGCUACUGUAGGUAGUCAGAUUUAUUUAUUCAUUAUUACUUAUCUUAAAUGAACAACGCAUAAGCACAAAAAUAGGAAUCAUCACUUCUCCAUGUCUUGUUCACAUGCUACCGAUCCAGGGAACAUAGCAUGCUAAUCCAUAGUGGUUAGGUGAUUGCUCUCAAUGGAACACAUUAGGCACAAACUCAGCAUCUGACACUUAAUGAUCUAGGUGUAUCGAGGUAAAAGCAGAAAAUGAUUAAGUUUUCUAGUGUACUAGGGAUUUGAGCACUCAAAACUAAUAACUUUCACUAAUUUCAGCAAAGCAAGCAGUAUGUAGAUCACUAGUUUACAAGGCAUUCACGAUUCAGUUCACAUAUUCACAUCAAGCAUCAUAUGUCAAAGGUAAAAUUCAGUGGGACGACAUUUAAGAAAUGGCUCAAGCAACCCAAAUAUCAAAUGAUUUCAGCAUGUAUCAAUGGAUGAUAUAUUAAGAUUUGGGUCAUGAAAUAGCUCACCGGGUUUAUAUAGGAAGUAGCACUCGCUUAACGCUCUCUAAACUGCAGCUCUUCUCUUUUUGCUUCUCUAUCCCCAUGCCUGCUCCAGCUUCACUCCUCUUCGCGUGUGCCCAUUGCUUCUCCUCAUCACCAUGCUGUGAAUCCACCAGGAUCCCAGGGAAUGUCAUCUCGAACUCGGUCAACUCGCAGUAAAUGGUACACAAGCAUCAACCUGAAAGAACACUCAACAACCAAGCCAAUACAAGUGACAGAGAGAAUGCCCUCUAAGUCAUCGAUAGAGUACCCUAUCAUAUAAGUAUAUCUAUUGAGCAAAUCAGGAACAUGCAUCAACAACAAGUCACAUGGUGCAUAGGCAAUAUCAGCGAUAUGACAUGUCUUGUCCAAAAAGCCGAGAUCAUACCUGAGAUAGUUAGGAAGAAGCUUCAAGACUACCUCAAUUGAAGAUACCAAGUGAGGUGUGGUAGUAGAAAUUUCAACCGGACUCGUGUCAACAAGUGAAAUAGUAGAGCUUGGCUCCUUGACAUCUGAAUCCACCUCACCAUACUCAACCAUGAAGCUCUCCAUCUCAGGCUCCAGUGUUGAGGAAACAAUGCGGCUAACAUCAUCGAAGGUGAACUUCUCCAUAUCUGGCUCUAGCAACACAUGAUCAAUAUCAACUAAAGGUGACUCCUCAAUAUCAAAAACAACUAACUGCAGCUCUGGCUCAUCCAUGGAAGAAUCAUCACAAUGCAAAACCGAAUCUCCAACACUAGUAUCCAUAUGAUCUGUAGCGUGUGUGUCAACUAGAAUGGUGUCAUCAUCGUCAAAGAUAAUCCAUGCAAGCUCGAUCUUGUCACACUAAGAUAGAGGUUCAGGGUUCUGUGUAAGAAUUGGUGGCUGAGGUGUAGUGAUUUGUUGCAAGCAAACCAAUGAAUCAGACAUGGGCUUCUUAUUGUACCAUUGAAGUUGCUGGAAAGCUAUGCUCUCAAUUAGCAGAAAAGCUUCAUCAAGUGUCUUGUUUGUAAUAGCUCCACCCGCUGCCAUAUCGACAUACGCUCGAGUGUUCGAAGUCAAUCCUCUAUAGAAUAUCUGCAACUCUAACCAUCUCUCGAGCCCAUGAUUAGGACAUCUCCUGAAUAAGGCUUUGUAUCUCUCCCAAGCAUCAUUCAAGCUCUCUGUCAGGACCCCAAUCCUAAGUCACACCGAUCUAGCAUGUAACACAUCAUAUCACUUUGCGGCCUCACGCACGGUAUUCCCACGGGUGCCACCUUACCUGGCCCGGGACCGUUUGCGCCUUUUGGCUCACGUAUAUGAUAGUGCCGCUAGCAUCCAUAUGACAAAGAACCCGGGCUGACAUGGCUAGUCGUGAACCCAAAGUGGCACUAACUUACAAGGACAGGCAUACAUGACCCAGCAACGAACGUGUCGGUCAUCAGCGAGUGAAUCCAGGCUGUAGCAACUGGGCUAGCAGGACUCCGGUAAACCGGGCUGUAGCAGGCUAACAGGACUCCGGUAGACACCGCGUGACAUUUCCCCGAAGGGACAGACACAGGAACGAAGAAGGUCACAUGCCGGCCAGCCUAAGUGUUUCGGAGCAGUAGAAAGCUACCAAGGCUCAGUGGAAGCACUAGGAGACAUUUCCCGGUAAGAGAGGCUACCAAGGAUAAACAACUAGAUAGUCAGAUCCCACACAUACCAAGCAUUUCAAAACAUGCACACAAUAUGCUCGAUAUGUGCAAAUACAACAUGGCAUCAGAACAUGACUCUACAACUCAAGUAUUUUAUUCAAUAGGCUCCGAGGAGCGAGAUAUUACAAGCAUGAGUCUCAUGACUCAACAUUCAGAGCAAACAAGUCAAGCACAAACGGAAGUUUAACAUGUCUGAGUACAGACAUCUACAAAAGAAAAAGGCUGAGAAGCCUGACUGUCUAUCAGAUCCUGCCGAGGGCACAAGAUCGUAGCUGAGGUAACAAGCUAAACGUCGAAGUCCACGUGGAAGUACUAGCGAGACUGAAGUCUCUCUGCAAAAACAUAAAUUAAGCAACAUGAGUACAAAUGUACCCAGCAAGACUUACAUCAGAUCUAACUACAUAUGCAUCAUUAUCAACAAGGGGAUGGUGGGGUUUAACUGCAGCAAGCCAGCUUUGACUCGGUGGCUAUCCUGAACUACGACUGCAAGUAACUCUUUUGAGGUGGCGCACAUGAGUCCACAUAUUCACCAUAUCAAUACACCACUAUGGAUCCGCUCCCGUCUUCCUACGAGAACGCCAUCCAUAGCACUCACGCUUAUCUUGCGUAUUUUAGAGUAUCCACUUUCACUUGUCUAUGAACUGUAUAGGCAACCCAGAAGUCCUUUACCGCGGACACGGCUAUUCGAAUAGAUGAUAUUAACCCUGCAGGGGUGUACUUCUGCACACACGCUCUCACCACUUACCGCCGUUUACACGACAUGUACUCGGCAACCUUCAAGUGGAAGCCCAAGGAGGGUGUCGGCCACGACCUGACUAACCACACAAGUCUCUCGCCCAGGUUUAUCGCCUAUUCGGGUUCCAUCCGCAAGGAGAUCCGGCCGGGGUUUGGCUCACGGCCCCAAACGAUGUGAGCAGGGUUCCCAAGCCCACCAUCCGGGUGCCACUUGGUACACCAUGCCACUGUGCCUAGUCUGUGCCAAGCCCACCUGUACCGGGUGCCACUUGGUAGACUACUAACACUACCUACAAACACCAGAAACUAGUUGCAACUCUUGGACAGAGAUCAUGUUGAUUAAUAAGUCAAGAGAGUCAAUUAAGGAUCCCAAUGUGUGGUAGUAGUUGUUCAUGGAUCACAAACACAGAACUCAGUUCCUGAGGACGGCUACAAUGAGACAACCCACCAUGUACUCCUACAUGGCCUCUCACCGCUACCUUUACCAAAUCGUGUUCACACACUUAGCUCACACAUAGUAGGGCAUGUUCACACGCCUCUGAUUCAUCCCCGAUGAAUCAAACCUGACUCAACUCUAAGCAGUAGCAGGCAUGACAAACAAGCAUGAAUGAGUAGGCACAACCGGGCUCAAACAACUCCUACUCAUGCUAGUGGGUUUCAUCUAUUUACUGUGGCAAUGACAGGUCAUGCAAAGGAUAAAGGGGUUCAGCUACCGCAGCAAGUAACAGAUGAAUCGAUGUUGUCCUAAUGUAGUAAAAGAGAGCAGGAGCGAGAGAGUAGGAUUGUAUCGGAAUGAACAAGGGGGUUUUGCUUGCCUGGCACUUCUGAAGAUAGUAUAGUUCUUCAUCGGUGUCAUCGAACUCAUCGUCGGAACCACGUCUAUCGAGAGGGAACAAUUACCGGCAACAGAGAAGAAACACAAUCAAUGCAAUGCACAUUAUGAUGCAUGAUCAUGACAUGGCAACAUGCUGGUGUUUUGAGCUAAUGCAGCUAGCAACAAAGUUAAAUGAAGUUGGUUUGAACCCUAAGUUCAAAUCCAAACUCCAUAUGUGAUUUCUUAAAUGCCAUUUAAUUGAAUUGUCCUAAACAGUAGUCAUAAGUUGUUCUAACAUGAAUGAAAACAGUACAAAUGGAUAGAUUGAAUUUUUCUGAUCAUUUUUCAUAUAUAAAUUAUUUCAUUUAGAGUUACGGUUGAAUUUAUAUGAAUUUUAGAAGUUUAUACCAUUUUCUGGAAUUUCCUGAAUUAAAAUUAAUCUAGAAAAUGAGUUAUGGCGUCAGCACUACGUCACUAUGACCUCAGCUGGUCAACGGGGCCGGUCCAGGUCAAAUCUGACUAGUGGGUCCCAUUGGUCAGUGUCACAGUGCUGUCUACGGUCGCUGCCGUGUGGGCCCAGUCAACGGCCACGUCAGCAUGGUCAAAACUGACGCGUGGGGCCAUCAUGGUUAAUUUAAUCUAAACAGGAAUUAAACUGUGGUUAGUUAAGUGUGUGGGGCCUAGCGUCAGUGGCACGUGGCGGUAAUUAGUGGCUAAUUAAGCCAACCACGUCAGCAAGUGGCGCCGGCGACCACGCCGACGGCGGGACCUCGCCGGAGUUGCUCGGGAUGGCGCCACAGACGGUGGUUUGCGACGGGGUUUGGCUCUACGCGGAGCUGGAGGAGUGGCGCAUCCACUGGUGGCAGCAAAUGGAGCUGGGGUGGCCUGUAGCGGCAGCGAUGGUGAGUUGGGCGGCGGUCGGAGCUCGGGUGCUCGCGGUUUUGGUGCUAUGGCCUGCGUUCGAGCAAGUAGCAGGCCGAAGAGGCUCAACGCGGUGCUGUGAGUGCAACGGGCACACGCACGGGACCAAAUGGUCACCGGAAUGUGGACGGCGACGAGCUCGUGCAGCGGCGCGGUUCGGUCUUCAAGGGGGCGACGGCUACAACAAGAAAUCGAGGCGAGGAAGAGGGGGAUUCGGUCCGUGAGCUCACCGCGGAGAUGUUGGGAUGGUCGGCGUGCUCGGAGGAGGCUUGGAGGUGACGGAAUGGCAGUGACGAUCUCGGCAGCCCGAGGAAGGGGACGGAGCCAAUGGCGGUGCUCCAAGGUGUCCGGCGUUGUGUGGCUCGGUGGAGAGGGCGACGAUGUCGUGUUGGAGCCUGGGGAGGCAUCGGAGGGGCUCGGGGGUGGCUGUGGCCGUAGUGGCAGCGGGCGGCGGCGAUGGUUGCGCUCGGGCAUGGGAGGGAGAGAGAGCAGAGGAGGGGAGAGGCACGGGAGAGAGUGAGAGGGGGCCAGGGGGUGCGUGGCAUCGUCCAGAAGAUCGGGGAGGCCAGGCAGGCAGGGAGGAGCUGGCGCGGCUCGCCUGCCCGCCGGGCACGCAACUGCUUCUCCUCCUGGCAAGAGGAAGAAGACAGUGUUGCCCCUGGUGGGUCGGGCUAGCUUUGCCCGGCUGGGCUGCUACAGUGGUGGGCUGGCUGGGCUUCCAGGUAAGUCCUUCUCUCUCCUUUCUUCAAUUCUAUUUCUAUUAUUCUGUAGUCUUUAGGGCUUUAUUAAAAAUACCUAGACAGAUCCAAAAAUCAUAAAACUUCUCAAUGCCACUGUUUGGAAUAUAACCAAUAGCAAACAUUUUAGUUUAUGAUUAUUUGAGCAGUUAAAAUAUUUAAUAGCAUUUAAAUGCCCAAAUGCAAAUACUAUAUGAUUUAAUUCAAAGCCCAAAUAUGUCAUGGAAAAAUGUGCAUCACCUCUGGCUACUGUUUACAGUAUUUCCCAUAAAUGAUGAACAUUUUUGAAAGCCAUUUGGACUUACGGAAAAUAUUUUAGGUGAACCUAGUGAAUCCUUUAAUGCUAGGGUUAGGACAAUCCCCAUUUCAAUUUUUUGUAAAAGUAAACAUGAUGCAUCACCAAAGACUAGCACUAGUGCAUUGCCAGAAGCUAGGGAUGUGACAACUCGCCCCCACUAAACAAGAAUCUCGUCCCGAGAUUCAAGCGUAGGGUAGGAUGAAGGGGGAACGCAAACUAACACAAUCUUCACGAUCCAGGUUGCACUUCAAAUGAACGUUGAUUCAAUCACCAUCUUUGUCUAGUCGUCUUGCUGUGAGAACUCCAACCCACAUGACAACGAGAGGAAAGGAAAAACUCUAGAAGGGUCGAUCUUCUCGGAGAUCGAAUCAACUCAGGAUCAACUCUCGGAGGGAGACAUGGAAACAUCUCUCGAGCUGAGACACGAAGCAUACAUCUAGAGGGAUGGAGUGGAACAGAUGACGAGGGGUUAUGUGCCAUGAUUCCAAAAUGGCACCUUAGGGAAGGUGACUUGCAGAAAUAUCCCCUUAAGUGGAAAAAGAAUUACUUUUGAUUCAGAGAUCAUUGAAACUCUUAUACCAACCUAAGGCAAAUCACAACAAUUGUUUGGCGGAGUUCGAAGGAAUGGCAUACUCGGACUAGUAUGGAUGAUGUGGAUUACCUUGUUGAAGACAACACAAGGGAUGAUUUUGCUUAUCACCGAAAAUGGAUGAGACCCAUGGUAGGACCACUUUUGAAAAUGAUCCUGAUUAGUAAUUACUGAGAAGGUAAUCCAGAGUAGGGUGGCAUGAUGGCGGUGCAAGCUGGGAACAACAUGCAAAUGAUGGGAAUGAUUCUGGUAACUGUGGAGGAACCUCAUCAGUAGAGAGUGAAUCCACUGUUUGAAAGGGUUAUAGCAUAAUCGAGGAAACUGAGAGCACUAUGCAAUUAACGCCGACGAUAAAACUUAGCACUUGCGCGUGCUCUCAAGAACUUUGAGCAUUUCCAUAUUCAUCAAGGUUUUACCAAUAUCCGUGUCAAGGAUCCUGGCAACACAACAUACUACCCUGAUGAAUGGUGAUGGACGAUGCAGAUGCAAAGGAAGAGAACGCUUUCUCAGAUUUCACCUUAGCGAGGCCAAGGAAACAAAAUCUGGAUGAUCAACCGAGAGACAUUUAGCACUCCGCUUCUAAUGUUCUCCUUGAUGUGCUAGCGUAACCCAUUUAUAGAUAUGGUUUGAUAUCUAGAACAUCAAGUAAAAAGUCGGACUUCGGGAGCGCAAGAAUCCAUAAGGAAACAACUACUGGAUUAAAUCCUACGAGAUCCUUAUGGGGAGGUCGCCAACUUCUUCAAUCAAGCUACUACAAUAAUAGAUCUUCCGGCUAGGUGUGUCGGCCACGACAUCCACUUUACCGGGUUACAAAGAGACCAUUAUUAUAGUUCUUGGGAAACGUUCCAACCAUCAUAUCUGCCUGAGAUUCAGAUCUGGUUGGUGUCAGAAUAAUCCAGACUCAUCGAGUCUAGGAAGAAAAAUGAAAGUUUGCAACACAAAUCGACGAGAUGACGUUGCGAGAUUCUCGGGAAAUGAACUACGAUAGCAAGCUCCAAAACAUGAUCUGGUUCUGCUACACACAUGUGAACAUGUUGUCCCAGACAAAACAUGAUCACAUGGUAGUCUUACAAUAAAACACUACCGAGUUCCGGUGGGGAACCAUCAACAAGGAUAUCGAAGUCUUGUGCAUGAACUAGUAUUCACACAUCAACUCCUUUUCCUUGAACAAUUCAAUCAGUGGCUUGGUGUUCUAGGGAUACAUAUGGAAUGAAGGUUGUGAGCCUGUCAAACCAUAUCAUACUUCACACAUGCAUGACUGACUUGGGAUCGUACCAGGGAAACAAAAACAAUCUUUCUCGAACUCAUGGCAGCAACUUGCUCCAAAUGCACGUGAAUCAGGGAAAGUCACUUGUUUCAUCCAACAUAUUCUUCACGAAUGGGACAUGAAGAUAAUGCUUAUAAAAGUUUCCAACACUAGGUUGAUAUUCAACAUGAAUCAUGGGGUGACAAAAUGCUGCUGAUGGGCUCAACAGUAACUCAUCGGAAUUUCCAUAUCACUGGACUUCCGCCAUCAUGUGAACACGGUGAUAGUAUUGGUCAGACCAAAAGAUGUAAUGGUGUAUGCUCGAGGGAUCAACCACGAGUAAGACAACAUUACGAAUAUCGUUGGUUCUAACUUGAUUUGACGAUAGCCCACACUCAAAUCUAGGUUUGGACAAGAAAAUAGAUUCAACAACUGAUCACGGGGAUCAGUCGAUGAAGAUAUCAUCUUUCUUCAACACACACACACCCACACUCAAGGAUAUCCCUUAGUGAUGAACUAAGUCGGACAAGCUUCCAUCUUCCAACUCUCCAAGUUGUUGUUUAGCUUAACCAACUAGCUCGGGGUAUCCAACACAGAAUCUUGGAGAAUGGGUGGUUUGGAAGAAAACCAACAUGAUCACGAACUCAACAUAGCGGUCAGGUGAAACCUGGUCAUACUUCCGAGAAGAUAUUCGGAAAAUCACGAACCAUCGAUACAUUACUAAGCUUGAGAACAAUCUUGCUUUUCAGGGCAAGACGAUAUGAUCAGAGAGCGAGGGAUUGACACAAUCCUAACUCAUUGAUAGAAGAGUGCACCGAAGAUAAGGACUAGGUAGCACAAUCUAUCUUAGAAUGAUGAUUCAAAAACCAACACGCUAAGAAUGAAAUUAUUGUCCAUUAACUACCAAGCAACGGAGUUGCUAGGAGUAUUGAUUUCGCACAUCACGGUACACUUGUCGGCAUUCCGGUUACAAUAACAUGGGAACCGAGGAAUGAACAAUGAUGGCAAGAAGUAUUACUGUGUCAAGAAUUCAUAAGAGGUGGUGCAAUUCUCAUGACACUCUUGACAUAAAGAUGGUAACACUCCAAGGUAGAACAGAGCAAAAGUUGGAUUGGUAUUUUGAUCUGCAAAGUACAACUACUUUGAUCCAAUCCCGGAAAUGGAUGAGAUACUGGAGUUUGUUUCUCCUAGUCAUUCCCGAAUAGAAUGGCUUGACGGGACACAAGAGUAGUGGCAUCGAUGAACUCGAAUGCAUAACUACUCCUGACUAUUAAUCGAUAGACGAGGGCCAGAAAACAACUAAAGAGAGACAAAUCAAAGGAACACAUGUUUUUCUGAGUUGUGGAUGCAUGGAUUGGUAUGCCGAACGAAUUCAACAUAUUUCUUCCGGAUAACCCAUGCAGAAAGGUUGAACUGGCAGAGUCGCAAAAUAGAAUGGAGAACCCAUCGAGGAUACUCCUAUUGUGAUCUUUUGAUCCAACAAACUUCUGCCAUAAAGUGGUUCAUAGUAUUUGGAAGAAGGAAAUACCACGAACUUUGAGGACUAUCGCAAAGGUUACUAAUAACCUAAAGGGACGAGCAAACACUAUCAACAUGAAGUAAGUAGGGUGGAUCCUGGGUCAAGAACCCAGGAAUAGAAUGCCUACUAACUAAGUGGCAUCACGGGAUGCUUUCGAGAAUGAUGGCCAGAAUCAUCACAUUGAUAACACAAAACAUGGCUAAGUUACUAGGUGAUACUCUAGACACCUAGGGUCAUAAUAAUAGCUCCAACAUAAAUGCCAAGGCAAUAGAGUACCUCAACUCAGCAACUAGUGUGACUAACCUGGCCUAAAAGAACAUCAAAACCAGAGGAAGGGAUUUCCAAAUGCAUCAGACUAUUUAGAAACCUGGGAUGACUCGGACAACAUAACAGCUGUAAAUGCUCAAAAAGAUUUGAGACAAGCUACAAAAAUGGUGGCAUAACCACUCAGGAGCACAAUAUCAAGGUUUCGAGAUCAACAACUAACAUACGGAGGUAGAACCGAGGCUUAAAUCCAACAAGCUUAUGAAUCUACUGAUUAGUAACACGUCAUCCUGAUAGAUAGAUGAGAAUGCCUAGUUCUUAAUCCCCGUAGAAAAGAAGAGGUUGACUCGGAUCAGAAGGGCAUAGGGUAAAGGAGUAAAAAGAGCCUUACGUUCCAUCCCACAAUCAAUUCCCUUACAUAACUAAAGCAUUUCUAGACUCAACUUCGACCAGUUUGGCUUGGUAAUCCUACAGGCAGUCAGGCUCUGAUACCAAAGCUGUCAGGACCCCGAUCCUAAGUCACACCGAUCUAGCAUGUAACACAUCAUAUCACUUUGCGGCCUCACGCACGAUAUUCCCACGGGUGCCACCUUACCUGGCCCGGGACCGUUUGCGCCUUUUGGCUCACGUAUAUGAUAGUGCCGCUAGCAUCCAUAUGACAAAGAACCCGGGCUGACAUGUCUAGUCGUGAACCCAAAGUGGCACUAACUUACAGGGGUAGGCAUACAUGACCCAGCAACGAACGUGUCGGUCAUCAGCGAGUGAAUCCAGGCUGUAGCAACUGGGCUAGCAGGACUCCAGUAAACCAGGCUGUAGCAGGCUAACAGGACUCCGGUAGACACCGCAUGACAUUUCCCGAAGGGACAGACACAGGAACGAAGGACACAUGCCGGCCAGCCUAAGUGUUCCGGAGCAGUAGAAAGCUACCAAGGCUCAGCGGAAGCACUAGGAGACAUUUCCCGGUAAGAGAGGCUACCAAGGAUAAACAACUAGAUAGUCAGAUCCCACACAUACCAAGCAUUUCAAUAACAUGCACACAAUAUGCUCGAUAUGUGCAAAUACAACAUGGCAUCACAACAUGACUCUACAACUCAAGUAUUUUAUUCAAUAGGCUCCAAGGAGCGAGAUAUUACAAGCAUGAGUCUCAUGACUCAACAUUCAGAGCAAACAAGUCAAGCACAAACGGAAGUUUAACAUGUCUGAGUACAGACAUCUACAAAAGAAAAAGGCUGAGAAGCCUGACUGUCUAUCAGAUCCUUCCGAGGGCACAAGAUCGUAGCUGAGGUAACAAGCUAAACGUCGAAGUCCACGUGGAACUACUAGCGAGACUGAAGUCUCUCUGCAAAAACAUAAAUUAAGCAACGUGAGUACAAAUGUACCCAGCAAGACUUACAUCAGAUCUAACUACAUAUGCAUCAUUAUCAACAAGGGGAUGGUGGGGUUUAACUGCAGCAAGCCAGCUUUGACUCGGUGGCUAUCCUGAACUACGACUGCAAGUAACUCUUUUGAGGUGGCGCACACGAGUCCACAUAUUCACCAUAUCAAUACACCACUAUGGAUCCGCUCCCGUAUCCCUACGAGAACGCCAUCCAUAGCACUCACGCUUAUCUUGCAUAUUUUAGAGUAUCCACUUUCACUUGUCUAUGAACUGUACAGGUAACCCAGAAGUCCUUUACCAUGGACACGGCUAUUCGAAUAGAUGAUAUUAACCCUGCAGGGGUGUACUUCUUCACAUACGCUCUCACCACUUACCGCCGUUUACACGACAUGUACUCGGCAACCUUCAAGCGGAAGCCCAGUGAGGGUGUCGGCCACGACCUGACUAACCACACAAGUCUCUCGUCCAGAUUUAUCGCCUAUUCGGGUUCCAUCCGCAAGGAGAUCCGGCCGGGGUGUCGCUCACGGCCCCAAACGAUGUGAGCAGGGUUCCUAAGCCCACAAUCCGGGUGCCACUUGGUACACCGUGCCACUGCGCCUAGUCUGUCCCAAGCCCACCUGUACCGGGUGCCACUUGGUAGACUACUAACACUACCUACAAACACCAGAAACUAGUUGCAACUCCUGGACAGAGAUCAUGUUGAUUAAUAAGUCGAGAGAGUCAAUUAAGGAUUCCAAUGUGUGGUAGUAGUUGUUCAUGGAUCACAAACACAGAACUCAGUUCCUGAGGACGGCUACAAUGAGACAACCCACCAUGUACUCCUACAUGGCCUCUCACCGCUACCUUUACCAAAUCGUGUUCACACACUUAGCUCACACAUAGUAGGGCAUGUUCACACGCCUCUGAUUCAUCCCCGAUGAAUCAGACCUGACUCAACUCUAAGCAGUAGCAGGCAUGACAAACAAGCAUGAAUGAGUAGGCACAACCGGACUCAAACAACUCCUACUCAUGCUAGUGGGUUUCAUCUAUUUACUGUGGCAAUGACAGGUCAUGCAAAGGAUAAAGGGGUUCAGCUACCGCAGCAAGUAACAGAUGAAUCGGUGUUGUCCUAAUGCAGUAAAAGAGAGCAGGAGCGAGAGAGUAGGAUUGUAUCGGAAUGAACAAGGGGGUUUUGCUUUCCUGGCACUUCUGAAGAUAGUAUAGUUCUUCAUCGGUGUCAUCGAACUCAUCGUCGGAACCACGUCUAUCGAGAGGGAACAAUUACCGGCAACAGAGAGGAAACACAAUCAAUGCAAUGCACAUUAUGAUGCAUGAUCAUGACAUGGAAACAUGCUGGUGUUUUGAGCUAAUGCAGCUAGCAACAAAGUUAAAUGAAGUUGGUUUGAACCCUAAGUUCAAAUCCAAACUCCAUAUGUGAUUUCUUAAAUGCCAUUUAAUUGAAUUGUCCUAAACAGUAGUCAUAAGUUGUUCUAACAUGCAUGAAAACAGUACAAAUGGAUAGAUUGAAUUUUUCUGAUCAUUUUUCAUAUAUAAAUUAUUUCAUUUAGAGUUACGGUUGAAUUUAUAUGAAUUUUAGAAGUUUAUACCAUUUUCUGGAAUUUCCUGAAUUAAAAUUAAUCCAGAAAAUGAGUUAUGGCGUCAGCACUACGUCACUAUGACCUCAGCUGGUCAACGGGGCUGGUCCAGGUCAAAUCUGACUAGUGGGUCCCAUUGGUCAGUGUCACAGUGCUGUCUACGGUCGCUGCCGUGUGGGCCCAGUCAACGGCCACGUCAGCAUGGUCAAAACUGACGCGUGGGGCCACCGUGGUUAAUUUAAUCUAAACAGGAAUUAAACUGUGGUUAGUUAAGUGUGUGGGGCCCAGUGUCAAUGGCACGUGGCGGUAAUUAGUGGCUAAUUAAGCCAGCCACGUCAGCAAGUGACGCCGGCGACCACGUCGACGGCGGGACCUCGCCGGAGUUGCUCGGGACGGCGCCACAGACGAUGGUUUGCAACGGGGUUUGGCUCUACGGGGAGCUGGAGGAGUGGCGCAUCCACUGGUGGCAGCAAAUGGAGAUGGGGUGGCCCGUAGCGGCGGCGAUGGCGAGUUGGGCGGCGGCCGUAGCUCGGGUGCUCGCGGUUUUGGUGCUACAGCCUGCGUUCGAGCAAGUAGCAGGCUGAAGAGGCUCUACGCGGCGCUGUGAGUGCAACGGGCACACGCACGGGACCAAAUGGUCACCGAAAUGUGGCCAGCGACGAGCUCGUGCGGCGGCGCGGUUCGGUCUUCAAGGGGGUGACGGCUACAGCAAGAAAUCGAGGCGGGGAAGAGGGGGAUUCGGUCCGUGAGCUCACCGCGGAGACGUUGGGACGGUCGGCGUGCUCGGAGGAGGCUUGGAGGUGACGGAAUGGCGAUGACGAUCUCGGCGGCCCGAGGAAGGGGACGGAGCCAAUGGCGGUGCUCCAAGGUGUCCGGCGUCAUGUGGGUCGGUGGAGAGGGCGACGAUGUCGUGUUGGAGCCUGGGGAGGCGUCAGAGGGGCUCGGGGGUGGCUGUGGCCGUAGUGGCAGCGGAUGGCGGCGAUGGUUGCGCUCGGGCGCGGGAGGGAGAGAGAGCAGAGGAGGGGAGAGGCACGGGAGAGAGUGAGAGGGGGCCAGGGGGGUGCGUGGCAUCGUCCAGAAGAUCGGGGAGGCCAGGAAGGCAGGGAGGAGCUGGCGCGGCUCGCCUGCACGCCGGGCACGCAGCUGCUUCUCCUCCUGGUAAGAGGAAGAAGACAGUGCUGCCCCUGGUGGGCCGGGCUGGCUUUGCCCGGCUGGGCUGCUACAGUGGUGGGCUGGCUGGGCUUCCAGGUAAGUCCUUCUCUCUCCUUUCUUCAAUUCUAUUUUCUAUUAUUAUGUAGUCUUUAGGGCUUUAUUAAAAAUACCUAGACAGAUCCAACAAUCAUAAAACUUCUCAAUGCCACUGUUUGGAAUAUAACCAACAGCAAACAUUUUAGUUUAUGAUUAUUUGAGCAUUUAAAAUAUUUAAUAGCAUUUAAAUGCCCAAAUGCAAAUACUAUAUGAUUUAAUUCAGAGCCCAAAUAUGUCAUGGAAAAAUGUGCAUCACCUCUACUGUUUACAGUAUUUCCCAUAAAUUAUAAACAUUUUUGAAAGCCAUUUGGACUUUCGGAAAAUAUUUUAGGUGAACCUAGUGAAUUCCUUUAAUGCUAGGGUUAGGACAAUCCCCAUUUCAAUUUUCUGUAAAAGUAAACAUGAUGCAUCACCAAAGACUAGCACUAGUACAUUGCCAGAAGCUAGGGAUGUGACACUCUCGCCUUCACGUUGAACGAAAUUGAAGAUCUCAUCUCGAAUUGCGGACUACUUGUGUAGUGGGAUAUAUUUAUCCAAGAAAGCUUGUGAUAUCUCAUUGUAGAUCUACUCUUGAUCUCGUGGUAGAUCUACUCUUGUAAUACCCACAUCAUCAAUAUCAAUCAAGCAGGACGUAGGGUUUUACCUCCAUCAAGAGGGCCCGAACCUGGGUAAAACAUCGUGUCCCUUGUCUCCUGUUACCAUCCGCCUAGACGCACAGUUCGGGACCCCCUACCCGAGAUCCGCCGGUUUUGACACCGACAUUGGUGCUUUCAUGAGAGAGCGGCAGAAGAAGAGGUAGAGGAUUACAUGCCUGCCUCCGGAGACGAGGCAAGCCUCGACGACGACGAAUUCGUCGUGCCUGAGGAUCCCGUCGAACAAGAGCGUUUUAAACGCAGGCUUAUGGCCACGACAAACAACCUCAAGAAAAAGCAGCAGCAGCUUAGAGCUGAUCAAGAUCUGCUAGCCGAUAGAUGGACUGAAGUUCUUGCGGCCGAAGAGCAUGAGCUCGAACGCCCCUCCAAAAGCUACCCUAAACGCAAGUUGCUCCCCCGAUUAGAGGAGGAGGCAUAUGAACCUGCAUCACCAGCAGGCAAUACGGCUGACCGACCACCCCGUGGCCGCGACAGAGAGGCCUCUAGGCCCUCCACUAGAACCGUACCCCGGCAGUGCUCGAGAAGCACAAGGCCACAGGGGAACGCUCUGGACUUGCGAGAUAUAUUGGAGGAUAAGGCAAGACAAUCAAGAUCGAUCUAUGGAUUGCGUGGGCGCCCCAUGAUACGUGACGACAACCGUCGCGCCGGACACAGUAAGUCCGGCCGGGCCGAACACAGUAGACAAAGCUCUCUUGAACUUCGUCGUGAUAUCGCCCAAUACAGAGGCGCCGCACACCCACUAUGCUUCACAGAUGAAGUAAUGGAUCAUCAAAUCCCCAAAGGGUUUAAACCCGUGAACAUUGAAUCUUAUGAUGGCACAACAGACCCCGCGGUUUGGAUCGAGGACUAUCUCCUUCAUAUCCACAUGGCCCGCGGUGAUGAUCUCCACGCCAUCAAAUACCUCCCACUCAAGCUUAAAGGACCAGCCCGACAUUGGCUUAACAGCUUGCCAGCAGAGUCAAUUGGGAGUUGGGAAGACCUGGAAGCCGCAUUCCUCGAUAACUUCCAAGGCACGUAUGUGCGACCACCAGACGCUGACGACCUAAGCCAUAUAAUUCAGCAGCCAAACGAAUCGGCCAGAGAAUUCUGGACACGGUUCCUAACUAAGAAAAAUCAAAUCGUCGACUGUCCAGAUGCGGAGGCCCUCGCGGCCUUCAAACAUAACAUCCGCGACGAGUGGCUUGCCAGGCACCUAGGACAAGAAAAGCCAAAAUCCAUGGCAUCCCUCACAUCACUCAUGACCCGCUUCUGCGCGGGUGAGGACAGCUGGCUAGCCCGCAGCAACAACAUCAGCAAAAAUUCUGGCAGUCCGGAUAUCAAGGACCGCAAUGGCAGGUCGCGUCACAACAAAAGCAAAUGCCGCAUUAACGACGACAAUAGUGAGGAUACGGCAGUCAAUGCCGGAUUCAGAGGCUCCAAACCCGGUCAGCGGAAAAAGCCAUUCAAAAGAAAUACUCCGGGUCCGUCCAAUUUGGACCGAAUACUCGACCGCUCGUGCCAGAUACACGGCACCCCCGAAAAGCCAGCUGACCACACCAAUAGGGUCUGUUGGGUAUUCAAGCAGGCAGGCAAGUUAAUUGCCGAAAACAAUGACAAGGGGCUGCAUAGCGAUGACGAGGAAGAGACCCGACCGCCGAACAAUAGAGGACAGAAGGGUUUCCCCCCACAAGUGCGGACGGUGAACAUGAUAUACACAAUCCACAUACCCAAAAGGGGGCGGAAGCGUGCACUCAGGGAUGUAUACGCGAUGGAGCCAGUCGCCCCGAAGUUCAAUCCAUGGUCUUCCUGCCCGAUCACUUUCGAUCGAAGGGACCACCCCACCAGCAUCCGCCACGGCGGAUUCGCCGCCUUGGUUUUAGACCCAAUCGUCGAUGGAUUUCACCUCAUCAGAGUCCUGAUGGACGGUGGCAGCAGCCUGAACCUGCUUUAUCAGGAUACAGUGCGCAAAAUGGGCAUAGACCCCUCAAGGAUUAAACCUACAAAGACGACCUUUAAAGGCGUCAUACCAGGUGUAGAGGCCAAUUGUACAGGCUCAGUUACACUGGAAGUGGUCUUCGGAUCCCGGGAUAACUUCCGAAGCGAGGAGUUAAUCUUCGACAUAGUUCCAUUCCGCAGCGGCUAUCAUGCUCUGCUUGGACGUACCGCGUUUUCAAAGUUCAACGCGGUGCCGCACUACGCAUACCUCAAGCUCAAGAUGCCAGGCCCUUGAGGAGUCAUCAUGGUCAACGGAAACACUGAACACUCUCUUCGAACGGAGGAACAUACAGCGGCUCUCGCGGUAGAAGUACAGUGCAGCCUCUUAAGGCAAUUCUCGAGUCCGGCCGCUAAGCGACCGGACACGGCUAAACGCGCCCGGAGUAACCUACAACAAGACCACCUGGCACGUUCCGAGCACGCGUAGCAAUGCGGCCCCAACCCCAGCCCCUGCAAAAUUUCAAGACAGGUCCUUCGCGUACAUCAUUAUGCUCUGGAGAUACCAUGGGCAUAGGGGGAGGGGCACGACCACGAUAGGCCCAGAAUGCGGCUUAACCACACCAGGGGCUCUCAAGUGUGUCGUUCUUUUUUCUCUCUCUUUUUUUUACCCACAGGACUCUGUUCAUCAGAGGCCCUGUCCGGCAGUAGACCUGUCGAACUCACGAUGCAAUAGCCAGGGAAGGAGAAAGGCUACGACGAAUAUCCAGGUGGUCUCCAUUACGAGCAUUAAAACUGUUUAAUACACCAUUCCGCAGCCUACCCCUGGAGGGGGACAUGUUUAAUAGUCCCAUCCCUUGCUUAUCGCACCAUUUGUAUCGUUCUGCAUUCACAGCAGUAUUUCUUGAAUAAACAAUGCAGCACCUUUUUGCUUGUAAUUGCAUUUCUUUCUUAUACAUAUAUGACAUGUUGCAUCCGUACACUUUUGUACGGCUAAAUACACCAGGGGCUUAUGCUUCCCGCAUCAUGGCGUGAUAAGUCCGAACACUUCCACAAGUGCGGCACCACGAACUUAUAGCAUUAUAUGCAUCGGCUCCGAAUCAUGUCUUGGGUCAAUAGUUGGGUUUGCCCGACUCCCAUGUUUUGGUACCUUAUGUUCUGUUGUAUCGGCUAAGGUAGCACUGGGAGAACCACUGCGAUUGCGCCCCAGUGGAGCUGGGCGAGCGCCUCAGUGGAGAAAGCUAAAACUGACCGUCAUGAUGAGGCGAGAGCCGGUCGCUAUUCGAGAGGUUUUUUCGAGUCCCUAAAGACUUAUGCCGCUUAGAGCGAGGAACCGGCUUUGUCCGGCCCAGGCGUGGAUAGCGCCCCAAAUUUGGCCUUCCGAACACUAGGGGCUUCGCCGAAAUUUAAAAUUAUAGAAUUCUAUGGCUAAGUGAGAGUGUUAAAGCACUAUAAGUCCAGUUGCCUUGUUCGUUGUGUUGAGCGCCUCCCUAGAUGGACCCAAAAAUGGGAACAAGAGUGCUCAAAUUUAUCCCGAACACCCUAGCACUCGUGGCAUGGGGGCUGAAGCCGACGACUUGCCAUCUCUCAGAUUUGAUAAACGGCCACACAGAAGGUAAUAUUUUAAAUUAACAAGCGUUGCUUAGCGCAUAUGAACAAAGUUUUCAGCGCACAGGAUAACAAAAUGCGAGUCUACUCAAAUAUUACAUCUUUGGAGCACUCACCCGCAAUAAUGCGGGCACCCUUCAUGACACUCUUAUAAUACAUCUCGGGCGUGCGAUACUCCUUGCCUGGCGGUGGCGCGUCCGUCACAAGCUUCUCAGCAUCCAUCUUGCCCCAUUGCACCUUUGCGCGGGCAAGGGCCCGACGGGCACCUUCAAUGCAGGCGGAGUGCUUGAUGACUUCAACCCAUGGACACACACCCACCAGCCGCCGCACCAGGCCGAAGUAGCUCCCAGGCAUGGCCUCCUUAGGCCACAGCCGAACUAUGAGGCCCUUCAUGGCCUGUUCGGCCACCUUGUGGAGCUCGACCAGCUGCUUCAGCUGGUCGCUAAGGGGCAUCGGAUGUCUGGCCUCAGCAUACUGAGACCAGUAGACCUUCUCCGUCGAGCUCCCCUCCUCGGCCCUAUAGAAAGCGGCAGCAUCGGACACGCUGCGGGGCAGAUCUGUGAACGCUCCUGGAGAGCUCCGAAUUCGGGUAAGUGAUAGGUAAUUCACACUCACAUGCUUACUUUGCAUGAAAAAUGUCUUACCCGCCGCUAUUUUCUUCAAUGCCUCGAUUUCCUGGAGGGCCUUGUAGGCUUUGGCCUUAGCGGCUCUGGCACUCUCAAGAGCCGUUGUAAGCUCGGACUCCCGAGUCUUCGAGUCACGCUCCAAACUCUCAUGUUUUUCCACGAGAGCCUGGAGCUCUUGCUGUACCUCCGCCACCCGCGCCUCCUGCUUCUCUCACUCGGUGUGCUCCGUGGCCGCAUUACGUUCGGCCGCGGACACCGCCUCCUUCAGGGUCGCCACCUCGUUCGUGGCCCCUGCAAUACCCAUGUUAUCCUUGUCAUCCUUCUUGCAACCAAAUCCUUUUCUGUAAGGUACAAUUUUAAUAAGGUGUUACUCACCUUCCUUAUCCUCGAGCUGCUUCUUGGCACGGCCGAGCUCGUUCUCGGACCGCUCGAGGCUUUGCUUCAAAGUAUUGACCUCCGCAGUCAGGGCGGCAGAGGUCAGCAGCACAGGCUGCAAUCCCAUAUUGACAUACUUUUUUUAUGACUCCUACGUAUAUCUUUUUAGAUCCUCAGUCCGGCUUUUCUUUCUGAAUACCGAACCGAGCAUCAGGGGCUACUGUCUAUGCGGUACUAUUUUACAUAUAUCAAAAUUCUUACCUCAAAGCCUGUUAGAAGGCUGCUGCAGGCUUCGGUCAGCCCGCUCUUGGCGAGCUGAACCUUCUGAAUCACCGCACUCAUGACAGUGCGGUGUUCCUCUUCGAUGGAGGCGCCGUUGAGCGCCUCCAGCAAGCUGUCCGGCGCUUCCGGUUGGACGGAGGCCGCUGGUGUCACGGUCUUGCCCUUCUUACGCAGGGGCCGCCCGCCGGACUCCGGAGCCACUACAGGUUCCGGGGUGGAGUCUGGUGCAAAGUCCGAGAGGUUGCCCUGCGGCACCUCCAGGGCCUCCUCCUGGUGGGUCCCUUCUCGGGAUCCCACCUCGGCAUCGUCCGCAUCACGGGGGGUGGAGGUGGUCGGAAGAGAAUCCAUAUCCGACGCACCCAAGGACCCGCUCGAUGAAGCAGGAAGAUCAUCCUUGGACGGACUGCAGGGUAGUAUGCGGCAUUAGAAAGACACCAUGUGGCGAAAAGAAAAACCAUGAAGUUAUUCGGGAGUCCGGAUACUUACGAUCUCGCCAGAGGCUUGGCCCUUGGAGGCCAAUCCUCGUCGUCGUCGCACCGCGCUGGCGGAGCAGUCCGGGGGAAGAGUCCUUCCCUUCUUGGACCCUUCGGCCUCCCUCGUCGGGGAGGCCUUCCUUUUCUUCCCUCCCCCCGCUGGGGGAGAGGCCUCCUUCUUCUCCUCCUCGCCUUUGUGGGAGGAGUCUGCCUCAGAGUCAUCAUCCGAUGACACCUGAAAACGAGAACUCUUUCGAGUGCCCGUGGCCUUCUUCUUGGCCUUCUUCUCCGGCACCACGUGGGGUGCCGGAGCCAGCAGCCCCGUUAAGCGGGCGUCCGCUGGGUCUUCUGGCAAUGGGGCCGGACAGAUAGUCUGUUCGGCCUUCUUCAGCCAGUCCUGUCAAAGGAGGGGUUUAGAUCCCGCAUAGAGUCAAACUAUGGAAAACAAGUGUCCCGUAAAGGGCAAAAUCGCUUACCUCGUUAGCCGGACGCUGCGAGCUGAAUCCGCGAUCUUCGGUAGCGGAUGCGGGAGCCUCGACACCCUUAAACAGCACCCUCCAGGCCUCUUCGUACGUAGUGUCUAAGAGCCCGCUCAAAGUCUGGUGCUGCGCCGGAUCGAACUCCCACAUAUUGAAGUCCCGUUGUUGGCACGGGAGAAUCCGGCGGAUGAGCAUGACCUGGACUACGUUGACAAGCUUGAGCUUCUUGUUCACUAGCUUUUGGAUGCAGGCUUGAAGUCCGGUCAGCUCCUCCGAAUCACCCCAUGUCCGGCCACUCUCCUUCCAGGAGGUGAGCCGUAUGGGGAUGCCAGAUCUGAAUUCGGGGGCCGCUGCCCAUUCAGGGUCACGCGGUUCGGUGAUGUAGAACCACCCCGAUUGCCACCCCUUAAUGGUUUCCAUGAAGGUGCCCUCGAGCCAAGUAACGUUGGGCAUCUUGCCCACCAUGGCGCCUCCGCACUCCGCUUGGCUGCCCUUCACAACCUUCGGCUUGACACUGAAGGUCUUGAGCCACAAGCCGAAGUGGGGCUGGAUGCAGAGGAAGGCCUCACACACGACGAUAAACGCCAAGAUAUUGAGGAUGAAAUUCGGGGCCAGAUCAUGGAAAUCCAUGCCAUAGUAGAACAUGAGCCCCCGGACAAAGGGAUGGAGUGGGAAGCCCAGUCCGCGGAGGAAAUGGGAAAGAAAUACUACCCUCUCAUGGGGCCUGGGGGUGGGGAUGAGCUCCCCCUCGUCGGGGAGCCGGUGCGCGAUGUCGCUGGACAGAUAUCCGGCGCUGCACAGCUUCUGGAUGUGCCCCUCCGUAACAGAGGAGGCCAUCCACUUGCCUCCCGCUCCGGACAUAGUUGGAGAAGGUUGAGGUGAGAUGUGCGGACUUGGGCGCUGGACCUCGAGUUCACGGAGAUGGAUAAGCAAAGGAGGAAGAAGGGGUAGGUAAAAGGGUUGGAUCUUUAUCCCCUUAUAUGGGCAGACGAAAAUAUGCGUCCCCACCGGCCUGAUAAAACUCGCUUAUCUCCCAAGCGCCGCAAUCAAUGGUGCGGUUGGGUUACCCACGUCCGUAUUGAUGGGAAUUCCGGAAUAAGGGGAACACGAUCUCUGCUUCGACAAGACGUCCCAAGGAAACCGCUUCCCUAAACACGCUGAGGUGGUACAAUAAAAACAAUUCGAGUAAAGGCUUGGUAGUGGUGUGACGUCACGCCACAAAAUACGUCAGCAGAUUGAACUUGUGUAAAUAUUAUUCUCUCUACGGUGGUAUGUGGAAUUUAUUUUGCAGAGUCGGACACUAUCCUGGUGUUCACAAUCUUCUAUAAAUUAUUCGAAGAAGGAACCCGCCUUGCAACGCCGAAGACAAUAUGCGUGCCCGACUCAUCUUCAUUGAAGUCUGGUUCAGGGGCUACAGAUGGAGUCCUGAACUAGGGGGUGUCCGGAUAGCCGAACUAUCAUCAUCGGUCGGACUCCAAGACUAUGAAGAUACAAGAUUGAAGACUUCGUCCCGUGUCCGGAUGGGACUUUCCUUGGCGUGGAAGGCAAGCUUCGCAAUACGGAUAUGUAGAUCUCCUACCAUUGUAACCGACUCUGUGUAAUCCUAGCCCUCUCCGGUGUCUAUAUAAACCGGAUGGCUUUAGUCCAUAGGACGAACAACAAUCAUACCAUAGGCUAGCUUCUAGGGUUUAGCCUCCUUGAUCUCGUGGUAGAUCUACUCUUGUAAUACCCACAUCAUCAAUAUCAAUCAAGCAGGACGUAGGGUUUUACCUCCAUCAAGAGGGCCCGAACCUGGGUAAAACAUCGUGUCCCUUGUCUCCUGUUACCAUCCGCCUAGACGCACAGUUCGGGACCCCCUACCCGAGAUCCGCCGGUUUUGACACCGACACCAACCAAAUGAUCUUGAUGGCAAGGAUCGAUACCAAGCACGAGCACCAUCUCGGAGAGAGAAUGUGAACAUCAUGCACUUGAUAGCUUCUUGAGGAACUCCAUGGUACUUUACUGUAUCUGAAUACUCCAUGACUCGGAGCAAGUGCUCGUAAGGAUCCUCAUUAGGCAACCCUCCAAACUGAUGUUGUUGAACCAAAGCAAUAAGACCAGGCUUUAGCUCAAAAUUUUCCGCCUCAAAAGACGGCCAAAGUGGCCCUGUGAAAUAGCAUUGGCUGCUUGGCAUCCAAACAUCACGAAGCAUCGCCAUAUCACCACCAAGUGUAACUAUCAAUCAACCUGUAAAUAGUUCAGAUUUCCUACGCACACUCAUAAACAGUAAAUACUAGUGAGAAUGUUAGUAUCCUAAUAAGACGAAGCAGCAACAACGAAAAAAUAUAAAAGAAACGCAGAAAAUGAAAUACACGACGAAUUAAACACGGACUAAAAUAGACCUAGUCUAUAGCCUAACACGGUCACUCGACGCUAGUCCCCGGCAACGGCGCCAAAAUGAUCAAUUGAAAGUAUAGCGGGGUUUUUACGCUCCAAACUACGGAUGUUGUGUUCUCCACAGGGACUAGGCGACGACGACUAUGCUCAGCUAAAGCUAGGUAGCACAAUUUUAAGAGAUAAAUGCAGAAAAGAAGAAUCUAAACUAACAAUGAUUGUACCCGAAGAUAAUCCACCAAGAAAAUGCAAAAUAGCAAAGGAGGUUAAGAUAUUACUCACUAUCUUUUUGGUAUUUUGUUUUAUUUGAGGAAUUAAAAUACUAACACAAACAGGAGUCAAUAUCAAGUAAAGCUACAAGACGAGGACACAUUAGUAUCAAACAUAUAACAGUAGGAAGAAGCGACAAUAUAUGACAGAAUAUAAUUGUUUCAAAUCAAACACACACACGCACAUUCAUAUAUCACAGGUACAUAGCUGAUACGGGGACUACAGAACACACAAAACCACACAUAUGCGAAUAGGAUACUACACCACGGUUCAGGUUACACAAGUGACAACAGAAAUGAAAUCUUAUAAGCCACAAGAUUAGUACCCACAGAUCAACACAACAGUAUUUAACAACUAAAAAAUACUGAUAGAAUUUAACUAGUACAGCGAGAAGAAAUACACAGGGUGAACACACAUAUAUGCUGACAGAACACUAAUUACCAAAGCAAUUUCUAAUAGAUCAAUAAUCUCCCAAAUUAACAAUAUAUUUUACCAGUACCAAACUGAACAAAUAACAAGUUGCUUGCACUAGUCAAAUCUGAAUAUUACACAACCCGAAACAUUACACAGUUCUGAACAUUACACUUCUAAAGUUUGCAAUAAGUUGAGAGAGAGAGAGAGAGAGCAACAAGAUUCAG